UGCACUGUCUGCCCUCACUACCUGCUGGCUGCAAGCUUGAUCCUUUUGUUUUCAGAGCUCAGCAGCUCUGCUCCCCAGCCGCAGACACAGCGGCACAGCGCCAAAUUUGUUUCCUUGAGUUUACAAAGGGAAUCUCUCCUCUUCCUGCAGCUACAAACUAUAUCCCACUUGAAGGACAUAUGUGAAGUUUUGUCAUGGCAGUGGCUGCUAUUUUGUUGAUGCCUGAGCUAGCUAGAGGACAAAGGCUGUACAUUGGUUUGCCUUGCACAGUCCAGUUCAAAGAGAGACAUUUUCCUGGCAAAUAUUCAUUUCACCCUGCUGCCUGGGUGCGAUGUUUUCCCUGGACAGGCUUGCUGUUGGAAAGUUGGCAGGUAGGUACUGUGUGUGUGGAACUGCAGGGCUGUUUUGGCAAUGUGUCUGCACAUAGCAGACACAAACUUGACCAAAUUUCUGGGCAGGUUUUGUAGUACACAUGAUUUAAGUCCUUCUAUGGUGCAUCUUACUCUGAUUUCAUGUUUCUCUUGUCAUAUCUGCUUAUCUUGCAAAAGGUUUAUUUGUGGCCGACAACAUGAUAUUUUUGGAUUGCUGAGCACCCAGGAAACCAGGGCAGGUUCACUGAGCACGAUCAGAAGGAGCCUUGUAGAAGGGUGGCUCUUCAGGAAGCUGUACCUACAGAAGACUGAAGCAGUACAGCUUUGAGGAUGAAGGAAGAGAACAUCAAGGACUGAACAUGUUUAUGGAAAGUGUGUUUAUGGAGAAGACUUUUGGUAGUUUAUUUUCCCUGGACUCAACUACAAGACUGAAAGGACAGACUUUCUUUUCCUGAUGUUUGUCAGACAAACCUGAAAAAGAGAAGAAAAAGGGAAGAAAUUUCAAUGUGAAAUUUCCUGGAAAUAUUUUGUCAUCCUCACAUGAUUCAACCACCAGCAGUCUGUUCUUUUCUGUAAUGAACAUGAAUGUAAAGGGGAACUGAAGACCCUUAUCUGCUAUGAAAGAAGAUUUGAAUAAAAAAUGAUUUUUGUCUUUUGUUCA
rnacentral:lncRNA from 1 species